CAGUCAACACCACCAUGACCACCUUUCCUGCCUUAAAACUGCAACCUCUAUUAUCAAAUGAUGACCUUUCCAACAAAAGCUCCAUGGCCAUCUUCACCAUCGAGACCAUCUUUUCCACACCACAACUGAGACCACUAUUUUCACAACACCCAAAAUCCAUGCUGUUCACAAACCCCCUUGUUUACCAAAACAGCCUCAUUUCUUUUUUUUUUUUUACACCCAUUACAACCAAACCCUCAACAAAUUGCAAACCUUUCUCAUCCUUCCCAUUGCCCACCAAGAAUAACCCUUAAACUUUCAGCAACAAACCACCCCAACCGAAUCAUUCCAUCAUCAACUAGCUACCUAAGCUCCACCAAAAAAACUAUCACUAAAUAGCCUUAGCCUUGUCGCCAUCAUCCCAGCUUUCAACCCAACAUUAGCCUAGCUUAAAACCCACCCAAACUUUCAGUCAAGUAAUUCAAAACCCAAAAAAAAAUUACAAAAAGCG
rnacentral:lncRNA from 1 species